GCCUCAGCAAAAGAUUUCUAGCUGUCUUUUUCCGAAGCCGCCUGUAACCAGGUGCUCUCUUCUAUGUCAGUUAAAGGAAUUAUGCGUGCCAUAUGCGUAUUUUGAUUAGAUAUACAAUUUUAUUGGCCUAUCUAGAAUCUAAAUUUCUAUUUACUAGAAUCAAUUUGCCUCAUACAGAUCUAUAUAAACUAGAUCUAGAUCCUCAACUAAGACAGGUUAU